rnacentral:rRNA from 1 species
UACGGGGGGGGCAAGCGUUGUUCGGAAUUACUGGGCGUAAAGGGCCAGUAGGCGGCCAACUAAGUCAGACGUGAAAUCCCUCGGCUUAACCGGGGAACUGCGUCUGAUACUGGAUGGCUUGAGUUUGGGAGAGGGACGCGGAAUUCCAGGUGUAGCGGUGAAAUGCGUAGAUAUCUGGAGGAACACCGGUGGCGAAGGCGGCGUCCUGGACCAACACUGACACUGAUGAGCGAAAGCCAGGGGAGCAAACGGG